AGCGAACGCUGGCGGCAGGCCUAACACAUGCAAGUCGAGCGCCGUAGCAAUACGGAGCGGCAGACGGGAGAGUAACACGUGGGAACGUGCCCUUUGGUUCGGAACAACCCAGGGAAACUUGGGCUAAUACCGGAUAAGCCCUCACGGGGAAAGAUUUAUCGCCAAAGGAUCGGCCCGCGUCUGAUUAGCUAGUUGGUGGGGUAAUGGCCCACCAAGGCGACGAUCAGUAGCUGGUCUGAGAGGAUGAUCAGCCUCACUGGGACUGAGACACGGCCCAGACUCCUACGGGAGGCAGCAGUGGGGAAUAUUGGACAAUGGGCGCAAGCCUGAUCCAGCCAUGCCGCGUGGGUGAUGAAGGCCCUAGGGUUGUAAAGCCCUUUCGGCGGGGAAGAUAAUGACGGUACCCGCAGAAGAAGCCCCGGCUAACUUCGUGCCAGCCGCCGCCGUAA
rnacentral:rRNA from 1 species